GACGAACGCUGCGGCGUGCUUAACACAUGCAAGUCGAACGAAGAGCGAUGGAAGCUUGCUUCUAUCAAUCUUAGUGGCGAACGGGUGAGUAACGCGUAAUCAACCUGCCCUUCAGAGGGGGCAACAGUUGGAAACGACUGCUAAUACCGCGUACGAUCUAAUCUCAGCAUCGAGGAUAGAUGAAAGGUGGCCUCUACAUGUAAGCUAUCACUGAAGGAGGGGAUUGCGUCUGAUUAGCUAGUUGGAGGGGUAACGGCCCACCAAGGCGAUGAUCAGUAGCCGGUCUGAGAGGAUGAACGGCCACAUUGGGACUGAGACACGGCCCAGACUCCUACGGGAGGCAGCAGUGGGGAAUCUUCCGCAAUGGACGAAAGUCUGACGGAGCAACGCCGCGUGAGCGAUGACGGCCUUCGGGUUGUAAAGCUCUGUUAAUCGGGACGAAAGGCCUUCUUGCGAAUAGUGAGAAGGAUUGACGGUACCGGAAUAGAAAGCCACGGCUA
rnacentral:rRNA from 1 species